AGCGAACGCUGGCGGCAGGCCUAACACAUGCAAGUCGAACGGAUCCUUCGGGAUUAGUGGCGGACGGGUGAGUAACACGUGGGAACGUGCCUUUUGGUUUGGAACAACUCAGGGAAACUUGAGCUAAUACCGGAUAAGCAUUUCGAGGGAAAGAUUUAUCGCCAUUAGAGCGGCCCGCGUAGGAUUAGCUAGUUGGUGGG
rnacentral:rRNA from 1 species